AACGAACGCUGGCGGCAGGCUUAACACAUGCAAGUCGAACGCCCCGCAAGGGGAGUGGCAGACGGGUGAGUAACGCGUGGGAACAUACCCUUUUCUACGGAAUAGCUCUGGGAAACUGGAAUUAAUACCGUAUACGCCCUACGGGGGAAAGAUUUAUCGGGGAAGGAUUGGCCCGCGUUGGAUUAGCUAGUUGGUGGGGUAAAGGCCUACCAAGGCGACGAUCCAUAGCUGGUCUGAGAGGAUGAUCAGCCACAUUGGGACUGAGACACGGCCCAAACUCCGAAGGGAGGAAGCAGUGGGAAAGAUUGGACAAUGGGGGCAAGCAUGAUCCAGCCAUGCCGGGUGAGUGAUGAAGGCCUUAGGGUUGUAAAGCUCUUUCACCGAUGAAGAAAAUGACGGUAGUAGGAGAAGAAGCCCCGGCUAAAUUCGUG
rnacentral:rRNA from 1 species